ACAAGCUUGCUUGUUGGGGUUGUAGGACUCUAAUAUGGUAGUCUAUUAGUAUAGUUGAAGGAUUUGGAAAAUUCCGCUAAAGAGGGUGAAAGCCCCGUAGACGAAAUGCUAAUAACACCUAGGAGGAUCCUGAGUACGGCGGAACACGAGAAAUUCCGUCGGAAUCCGCGGGGACCAUCCCGCAAGGCUAAAUACUCCCUAGUGACCGAUAGUGAACCAGUACCGUGAGGGAAAGGUGAAAAGCACCCCGGAAGGGGAGUGAAAUAGAUCCUGAAACCGUGUGCCUACAACAAGUCAAAGCUCGUUAAUGAGUGAUGGCGUGCCUUUUGUAGAAUGAACCGGCGAGUUACGAUUGCAUGCGAGGUUAAGUCGAAGAGACGGAGCCGCAGCGAAAGCGAGUCUGAAUAGGGCGAAUGAGUAUGUAGUCGUAGACCCGAAACCAUGUGAUCUACCCAUGUCCAGGUUGAAGGUGCGGUAAAACGCACUGGAGGACCGAACCCACGUACGUUGAAAAGUGCGGGGAUGAGGUGUGGGUAGCGGAGAAAUUCCAAACGAACUUGGAGAUAGCUGGUUCUCUCCGAAAUAGCUUUAGGGCUAGCCUCGGAAUUGAGAAUGAUGGAGGUAGAGCACUGUUUGGACUAGGGGCCCAUCUCGGGUUACCGAAUUCAGAUAAACUCCGAAUGCCAUUCAUUUAUAUCCGGGAGUCAGACUGCGAGUGAUAAGAUCCGUAGUCGAAAGGGAAACAGCCCAGACCACCAGCUAAGGUCCCAAAAUAUAUGUUAAGUGGAAAAGGAUGUGGGGUUGCACAGACAACUAGGAUGUUGGCUUAGAAGCAGCCACCAUUUAAAGAGUGCGUAAUAGCUCACUAGUCGAGUGACCCUGCGCCGAAAAUGUACCGGGGCUAAACAUAUUACCGAAGCUGUGGACUACACCAUUAGGUGUAGUGGUAGGAGAGCGUUCUAAGGGCGUUGAAGGUCGAUCGUGAGGACGGCUGGAGCGCUUAGAAGUGAGAAUGCCGGUAUGAGUAGCGAAAGACAGGUGAGAAUCCUGUCCACCGUAUGACUAAGGUUUCCUGGGGAAGGCUCGUCCGCCCAGGGUUAGUCGGGACCUAAGCCGAGGCCGAUAGGCGUAGGCGAUGGACAACAGGUUGAUAUUCCUGUACCAGUUGUUUUUGUUUGAGCAAUGGAGGGACGCAGUAGGCUAAGGAAUGCAUGCGAUUGGAAGUGCAUGUCCAAGCAAUGAGUCUUGAGUAGAGUUAAAUGCUUUACUCUUUAAGGACAAGUUGUGACGGGGAGCGAAAUAAUAGUAGCGAAGUUCCUGAUGUCACACUGCCAAGAAAAGCUUCUAGUGAGAAAACAACUGCCCGUACCGUAAACCGACACAGGUAGUCGAGGAGAGUAUCCUAAGGUGAGCGAGCGAACUCUCGUUAAGGAACUCGGCAAAAUGACCCCGUAAC
rnacentral:rRNA from 1 species